GGGCGGCGAGGCGAGGCCUGCGGAGCGGAGGAAGACAAACAUAAAGAUGAAGUGCUUAAUUCAAGGUCACACAAUGUCGGGGAUGGACCUCCAGAUUUCCUUACUGGUGAGACGUGGUCUUGUAACACAGUGGUUAAGAAUGUGACUUUGGAGCCAGCCUGCUAGGGGCUGAAUUCUGACUCAGCCAUUUACUAACUGUGUGACCUUAGGUGGAGUCUCACUCUGUAGCCCAAGCUGGAGUGGCGUGAUCUCGACUCACUGCAACCUCCGCCUCCUGGGAUCAAGUGAUUCUCGUGCCUCAGCCUCCUGAGUAGCCGGGACUACAGGUCACAGAAUUUUCCACACUCCUUGACAGAGGUGCUUAACCCUUAUCCAUCAGCAUUCUCAGACAGCACCUCCGGUUAGGGACAGUAUCUGACCGUCCGACAUCCCUGCAGCCCCCAUGUGUCACACAGACUCAGCCUCAGGUAGAUGGUUUCCGUAGAUGGUGGCUUUCUUUGGACCCUUGACAUCAACCAGUUACUAUUUGGGGACCAGAUGUGCAGAGGUAAUGAAUACCAGGGAAUCAGGAAACCACUGGAUCAGUUCUUUGAGCCACAGAACAACACUCAUCCCAGCAGCUGGGAAGCUAUCUGCAAAAGUCCAUCUGCAGAAAGGGCUUCCUGGUCUUGCGUGUGGCUGGGCCAUUUCUCUGGAUGCAGGUUUUUCAUUAUACAGUCUUCUCAAAGAACCACCUGCUCU
rnacentral:lncRNA from 10 species